rnacentral:lncRNA from 10 species
UGGAUAAGAAAGGCAUUGUAUUUGCUGUUGGCACCUCGCCCAGAUCAUCCACCAGGCAGGUGCGUCCAUCCCUAGCUGCUGAGUGUUGACUGCCAAGUCCUCACAGUGACCCCUUUUCUGGGACACUGACUCUUUCUGAAUAGGACUGGACUCAUCUGUGAGAUGGGGCGACCCUCCCUCACUGGAGCCUGUAGCCAAUGGCUGACUGACAUAGGACUACAAAAAGCUGGCAUCCUGGCCUCAAGGUGAUACUCCAGCUGAGGCCACCUCCUUGUUCAGCUCGUCCCCUGCUCCAUUCUUCUUCCCUCCUUUUCUCCUGAGAUCACUUUCUUAAUCAGCCACCUGCAGAAGAACCCCCAUCUCAGGUUCCACUUUUAGGGAGCUCAACUUCAGACAGGAUUGGGUAAGAAAUUGGGGAAAAGGCAAUAUGAAUCCCAGUUUUCCUUUUGGGUAAGUGGGUGGCUGGAUGUGCUGAACACCGAGUAGAGGAGGCUUAGAAGAGGAUGAGGUUUGUGAGAGCAGAGAAGCUCAGUUUUGUUUACUGGAGAAGCAGAUGUCAUAUCCAGGAAGCAGCUGGAUACCUGCGGGUCUGCAGCCAGGAGAGAGCUCUAAAUGUUGUCACCAAACGUGACUAAAUGACAGCUGAAACCCUGAAGUUGGCGAGGAAGAAAUCAUGGAGAAAAACAGAGUGGUCUCAGGAUGAACUUGGAGGAAUGUGAGCAUUAUACACACAGCCAGGGGCUCCAAGGAUGGCCGAUGAGGAACAGUGUCUGAAGUAGUGUUUCCCAAAGAGUCACCCCUCUGGCUAUGUGCAAAUCCAUGGUUCAGACUCCAGACUGUGGAAUCAAAGUUUCUGGAGUGAAUGAAACGAACCACAUUUUUAUUGGCUUCUGGCUUACUCAGUCCUCCAGAAAUCUAGAUGCUCUUUCAAAGUAGAUGAAUGUCAGUGCCACAAAUGACCACAGACCACCCCACCCCUGGUUGCUGCUGGCUUUGGAUUGGACUUUUAGUGAACAAGAAAUAAAUUUUUAUUGUCUCAAGUCAUGGAAAUCUUGGGAUUUGUCUAUUACACCAGUCAGUUUUACCUUAACAAACAUACUUGCAAUCUCCAUUAGACAUAGAGAAUAUUUGUGCUCAUUUGCAUGAUGAGAUGAUUUCUUUCCUUGUGUAAAUGGUGACCAGAUGACAACAUUUCUCACAACUGUUGAUAAUGUCAUCUGCCUUCAGUUACUAAUGGUUGUCAUUAGGGUGAAGCUAACUGUCUCAGUUCAAAUGUUACCUCUUUACAAAGGCUCUCCUGGCCUCUCUAUUCAAAGUAUUCUACAACUCACACUCCAGGUAGUUUUAUCCCAUUAAUAAUUUCAGUGGAUGUAUUAGUCUAUUUUCAUACUCCUGAUAAAGACAUAUCCAAGAAUGGGAAGAAGAAGAGGUUUAAUGGACUUACAGUUCCAUGUGGCUGGGAAAGCCUCACAAUCAUGGUGGAAGGCAAGGAGAGGAG